rnacentral:rRNA from 1 species
CGCUGGCGGCAGGCUUAACACAUGCAAGUCGAGCGGGGAAAGGUAGCUUGCUACCUGACCUAGCGGCGGACGGGUGAGUAAUGCAUCGGAACGUGCCCAGUCGUGGGGGAUAACGCAGCGAAAGCUGUGCUAAUACCGCAUACGAUCUAUGGAUGAAAGCGGGGGACCGUAAGGCCUCGCGCGAUUGGAGCGGCCGAUGUCAGAUUAGCUGGUUGGUGAGGUAACGGCUCACCAAGGCGACGAUCUCUAGCUGGUCUGAGAGGAUGACCAGCCACACUGGAACUGAGACACGGUCCAGACUCCUACGGGAGGCAGCAGUGGGGAAUAUUGCACAAUGGGGGAAACCCUGAUGCAGCCAUGCCGCGUGUGUGAAGAAGGCCUUCGGGUUGUAAAGCACUUUCAGUGGGGAGGAAGGGAUGAUGUCUAAUACGCAUCAUCAUUGACGUUACCCACAGAAGAAGCACCGGCUAACUCCGUG